rnacentral:misc_RNA from 1 species
UCUCGCCUCCCCUCGGCGAGCGGAACGAACGUAUUAGGUUAUGGACCUCGCUUUUCCAGGCGCGCAAGUUAUAAAUGGCCGUUGCACGCCGAGCUGAAACGUAUACACAGGGUGCACGGUGUAUUCUCCCGCGAGCGCGAGCGAACGAAGAUGACGUUAGGCCGCGAGUUAGAAGUAGAAGAGAGAUCGCAAUAUACCGACGCGAGACUGGAAGCGGGACUAGUCGACGUAGUCGAUGGAGGCGCGCGGGCUAGUGGACUCGGAUUUAUGAGACCGUCAUAUUUCGCAAGUUGCGAGCCGGAAUUUCAUUUCCACGUUCACGACAACAAUGCUACUCGACUAUUACCUAUGGUGCGCGC